rnacentral:misc_RNA from 1 species
AACACUGUUAACCUGCGGUACCUGCGGAGGGAUCAUUACGAGAGUGUCACCACUCCCAACCCAUUGUUUACCUACCCGUCCACCGUGCUUCGGCAGGCAGCCCUGUGGGACAGAGCCUCGCCCCCUUUCGCGGGGGGUGCCUGCCGCUUGCCAACCAAAACUCUAGCUGUUCUAGUACCAUCUGAGUCUUCCACAAAUGAACAAAACUUUCAGCAAUGGAUCUCAGAUCGGAAGAGCACA